UUCUUCUCUGCUGAAAACCCAUCUAUGAAUCGUACCGUUCUCCAACUCAAACCCAUGAACCUCAGCAAUUUUCUACCCUGCUUUCUCAUCUGCUACUCCAAAUCAAAUACCCAAUUAAAAUUCCUCUUUUUUCAUCGCUGUUUCUUCGUCUCGGCAUCGAAUUCGAACAAAACCCUAACCUGUAAACCUAAAACCAUCUGAGACCCAUCCACUCAUCCAAAUUGGGUUAUUCAAACACAAAUCUGUGCUAGAUUCAUAUACGUCGCAACUGAAAAAUUGAUUUGAUGUGUGAUAAUCUCCCUUAAGUUUUUAAUAUGGAGUUGAUGAUGGAGGCCGUGGUUUCUAUGAUGAUGGUGGGAACUGGAGAUUGAGGAAGUUUGAUGUUGAAUGGGUUUGUUUUGUGUAAUUGAAAUUGCAGGGAAUUGGAGAGCUGUUGAAGAUUUCCUCGAUGCACAAUAGCACCACCAGAUCGUGCAAAUCAAAUGUUUGACAAAUUGCUUGAAUGAAUAUGUUGUCCAUGUCGCUACACCAGAGGGGUUACUGCGAGCUGGUUAUGAUGGGUUUACUUGGAGUUUCAAAGGGUUUGCAGAGGAGUUUGGUUAGAAAAGAAGGAGGGGUUUUGCUGAUUGUAUUCAAAGUAGUGGAUAUCCAGAUGGCAGACUGAAAUGGAUGGAAUAUUGAGAAGCCAGGAAGGUAGAUCUGUGCUACUGGUGCAGACUGCUCUUCCCCCAAAUGUGGACUUGAUAAAUGAUUUUAGAGGAUCUUUGAAAUUGGUCAAAUGUAACAGAGUAGGUUGACGAUGACUACAAUUUGUGACAGUAAGAGUCUAUCAUCGUGCUCAGGACUAUCUAAACAUGAAGGUUUUGGAAGUGAAUGUGAGUUCUUGAAACUUGAAAACACAUCCGUUUUGUAAUUCUGGUUCUGGUGGUUGUUUUGAUUAAAUAACAUUUUAAUCUACUGUGAUGAUUAUCAGAAUUUUCAUGUGUUUGGAUACAAGGUACUUGCAUUAUGGCUUGGAGCACCGUCGAAAAGCUCUUAUGCUUCUGUGAGCAUAGUUAAGUCGAAGUGAUGUCGUUGUACAUUAUAGCUUUAGCUUAGGUAGUUUGCUAAUCUUGGAUGAAAGUGGUAAGGGUAAACCGGUGGGAGUAAUGUGGGGUACAUAGUAAAUUAUCUGAAUUUAAAGAAGUUUUUAUGCAUUUAGCUCA